UCAUGUGUGGUAUAGUGGUUUGAGCGUUUGACCAUGAUUCUGGAGACCAGGGUUCGAUUCCCAGCUUGGCCAUGAA